rnacentral:lncRNA from 1 species
UAUGCCUUUGUUAUUUAUAUAUAUAAUAAAUCAUUAUUUAAAUAAAAAAAAUAAAAAAUAAAAUAAUAAUAAGAAUAAUAAUAAUAAAAAAUUAAAAAAUUAAAAAAAUAAAAAAAUUAAAAAAUUAAAAAUUUAAAAAAUUAAAUUUUUUUUAUGGUUUCGAAUUAUACUUUUUCAAAUUCGAACUUUUUUAUAAAUUGUUUGGAAAACGAAAAUUAUGUUUAAAAAUAUUUUUAAAAUUUUUUAUAUAUUUUUUAAGUAUUUAUUUAUAUAUUUAUUAGAAUCCUAAAUUUCACAUUCCAAAAACUCUACCCCACCCCUCAACUCUAAACCCUAAGUCUAGAUUAGUUAAUC